rnacentral:rRNA from 1 species
AUUGAACGCUGGCGGCAGGCUUAACACAUGCAAGUCGAGCGGUAGCACAGGGGAGCUUGCUCCCUGGGUGACGAGCGGCGGACGGGUGAGUAAUGUCUGGGAAACUUCCUGAUGGAGGGGGAUAACUACUGGAAACGGUAGCUAAUACCGCAUAACGUCGCAAGACCAAAGAGGGGGACCUUCGGGCCUCUUGCCAUCAGAUGUGCCCAGAUGGGAUUAGCUAGUAGGUGGGGUAAUGGCUCACCUAGGCGACGAUCCCUAGCUGGUCUGAGAGGAUGACCAGCCACACUGGAACUGAGACACGGUCCAGACUCCUACGGGAGGCAGCAGUGGGGAAUAUUGCACAAUGGGCGCAAGCCUGAUGCAGCCAUGCCGCGUGUGUGAAGAAGGCCUUCGGGUUGUAAAGCACUUUCAGCGAGGAGGAAGGUGGUGAGCUUAAUACGUUCAUCAAUUGACGUUACUCGCAGAGGAAGCACCGGCUAACUCCGUG